UACGUAGGGGGCAAGCGUUGUCCGGAAUCAUUGGGCGUAAAGCGCGUGUAGGCGGCCCGGUAAGUCCGCUGUGAAAGUCCAGGGCUCAACCCUGGGAUGCCGGUGGAUACUGUCGGGCUCGAGUCCGGAAGAGGCGAGUGGAAUUCCUGGUGUAGCGGUGGAAUGCGCAGAUAUCAGGAGGAACACCAAUAGCGAAGGCAGCUCGCUGGGACGGUACUGACGCUAAGGCGCGAAAGCGUGGGGAGCGAACAGG
rnacentral:rRNA from 1 species